AACGAACGCUGGCGGCAUGCCUAACACAUGCAAGUCGAACGAGACCUUCGGGUCUAGUGGCGCACGGGUGCGUAACGCGUGGGAAUCUGCCCAAAGGUACGGAAUAACUCGGGGAAACCCGUGCUAAUACCGUAUGAUGUCUUCGGACCAAAGAUUUAUCGCCUUUGGAUGAGCCCGCGUCGGAUUAGCUUGUUGGUGAGGUAAAAGCUCACCAAGGCGACGACCCGUAGCUGGUCUGAGAGGAUGAUCAGCCACACUGGGACUGAGACACGGCCCAGACUCCUACGGGAGGCAGCAGUGGGGAAUAUUGGACAAUGGGCGCAAGCCUGAUCCAGCAAUGCCGCGUGAGUGAUGAAGGCCUUAGGGUUGUAAAGCUCUUUUACCCGGGAUGAUAAUGACAGUACCGGGAGAAUAAGCUCCGGCUAACUCCGUGCCAGCAGCCGCGGUAAUACGGAGGGAGCUAGCGUUGUUCGGAAUUACUGGGCGUAAAGCGCACGU
rnacentral:rRNA from 1 species